GUGGCUAAAAUUGCCCAAACUUCUCUUGCCAAACGGCACCUUAGGGUUCUAUAGUCUAUGCGAUUGUGUCUCUCUUUCCAGAAACACAGACAGACUCCCAAAAGCCUGAAGAACUCCUUCGAAGCUAUUGAAGAGGUUUAAUCGAAGGUGCUGAUCGAUUCUCUCCUUCAAAGAUCACAUUUCGAACGAAGACACAUCAUUUUUCAUUUUUUUCCCCCAGAUUUCUGUUUCCUCUUUUUUCAUUUUUUUUCCCUAGAUUUUUGUACUCCUUCUUGGCAGCAAACGACCUCCUCCGCUCCAAUGACGACUCCUCUUCUCGUCAGAGACGAAGAGAGAGGGAACAACAAACAGAUUGAGAGAUGAAGAGAGAGGGAAGCAGAGACGAGACGAAGAGAGAGAAGCGUAGAGACAAAGACGAUCGAGAUCGAGAUCAGCAGUGAGAGAAGAGAGUGACGAAGAUGAUCGAAGCCCUCAGAGACGAAGACGAUGACGAUGACGACUGUGAUCAAUAGUGAGAGCCCUAAUCGUGAUCGGUGAUCGAAGCCAACAGCGACCAGCAAAUUCAAGGCCAAAAGUAGAGCCUAAAAGAACAACUGAAAGGGGUAUGCUUUUCAUUUCUUGGAAUUUAUUAGAAUUUCUUUACAUUUCCCUUAUAUUUUAGUUUUCAUUAUGCCCACAACUUUAAUACCUUAUACAGCAAGGUUGAUGCAUCAUCCAAGGGCUAAAGAAGGAAGAAGAACAUGUAUGUUUUGUUUUUUUAAUAGUAUUGGCGCAAAUUACGGCAGUUGCAUAUGCUUAUCUUGCAAGUUCUCUGUACAUAUUUUUACUUUUUUUGGUAAUUGUUUAAGCCCUUUAUACUUUUAUUUUUAUCAAUGACUGGACGCAUGUCAUACUUCUUAGUUGAAGUCCAUUUUGUUUUACAAUUUAAAGUCACAAGCAAUGUAAUUGUAUCACUUUCUUUGUCCAUUGUGCUUUCUGUUUUGUGUUUGGUAUGAUGAUGUCGAUGAUUCUGCAUUCUUUAAAUUGGUUUGUGUGUUUGUGUGGGCGCUAGCGAGCAUGUCUGUGAGUUCAAUUUUGGGUAAAAGGAAAACUGAAAAGGGUAUGCUUUUCAUUUCUUAGAAUUGAUUAGAAUUUGUUCACAUUUCUUUUUUUUUUUUUUUUUAAGUUUUCAUGACACUUGCAACUGUAAAACCUUUUGCAGCAAGGCCAAUGCGUUAGCCAAAGGCUAAAGAUGGAAAAGAAAUAGAAGUGGAUGAGGGGAUGAAAACUGAGAUGGGCACUGAGGUUGACCAAGCACUUCACAAACCAGAAGAACAGAUAUACCAAGUUUACUUUGACGCAAGUGGUGGUGACAAAGCUGCCUUGCCUGAUCACAAGAAAUUCCUCAAAGAUGUUUUUUGCAGUCGUGCAUCUGAAUUGGACACCACGGUAAACCCCAUCAAUGGCCAUGUAUUUGUUGUCUCGCUGACAGAGGAGGCGGGGAUGAAGCAUUGGGGAUUAAAAGGUGGUAUCCAGAAGAAUUGGUGCAGUAGAAUAUUUGUCCAUGAAUUUUGAAAAAUGAUUCAGUCCUCUAAAAAAAGACCACUAAUAGAGCUCUAAUUUGUCUUUUUCUUCCCCUUCUUUUGUCUUUUACUUCACUGUUUGUUUGUUUGUUUGUUUUUUUUUUUAUUUUAUUGCUUGACAACUCACUAGAGCUGUACGGCUGCACCUCUAAUUAGAGGUCUGUA